rnacentral:rRNA from 1 species
CAUGCAAGUCGAACGAACUCUGGUAUUGAUUGGUGCUUGCAUCAUGAUUUACAUUUGAGUGAGUGGCGAACUGGUGAGUAACACGUGGGAAACCUGCCCAGAAGCGGGGGAUAACACCUGGAAACAGAUGCUAAUACCGCAUAACAACUUGGACCGCAUGGUCCGAGCUUGAAAGAUGGCUUCGGCUAUCACUUUUGGAUGGUCCCGCGGCGUAUUAGCUAGAUGGUGGGGUAACGGCUCACCAUGGCAAUGAUACGUAGCCGACCUGAGAGGGUAAUCGGCCACAUUGGGACUGAGACACGGCCCAAACUCCUACGGGAGGCAGCAGUAGGGAAUCUUCCACAAUGGACGAAAGUCUGAUGGAGCAACGCCGCGUGAGUGAAGAAGGGUUUCGGCUCGUAAAACUCUGUUGUUAAAGAAGAACAUAUCUGAGAGUAACUGUUCAGGUAUUGACGGUAUUUAACCAGAAAGCCACGGCUAACUACGUGCCAGCAGCCGCGGUAAUACGUAGGUGGCAAGCGUUGUCCGGAUUUAUUGGGCGUAAAGCGAGCGCAGGCGGUUUUUUAAGUCUGAUGUGAAAGCCUUCGGCUCAACCGAAGAAGUGCAUCGGAAACUGGGAAACUUGAGUGCAGAAGAGGACAGUGGAACUCCAUGUGUAGCGGUGAAAUGCGUAGAUAUAUGGAAGAACACCAGUGGCGAAGGCGGCUGUCUGGUCUGUAACUGACGCUGAGGCUCGAAAGUAUGGGUAGCAAACAGGAUUAGAUACCCUGGUAGUCCAUACCGUAAACGAUGAAUGCUAAGUGUUGGAGGGUUUCCGCCCUUCAGUGCUGCAGCUAACGCAUUAAGCAUUCCGCCUGGGGAGUACGGCCGCAAGGCUGAAACUCAAAGGAAUUGACGGGGGCCCGCACAAGCGGUGGAGCAUGUGGUUUAAUUCGAAGCUACGCGAAGAACCUUACCAGGUCUUGACAUACUAUGCAAAUCUAAGAGAUUAGACGUUCCCUUCGGGGACAUGGAUACAGGUGGUGCAUGGUUGUCGUCAGCUCGUGUCGUGAGAUGUUGGGUUAAGUCCCGCAACGAGCGCAACCCUUAUUAUCAGUUGCCAGCAUUAAGUUGGGCACUCUGGUGAGACUGCCGGUGACAAACCGGAGGAAGGUGGGGAUGACGUCAAAUCAUCAUGCCCCUUAUGACCUGGGCUACACACGUGCUACAAUGGAUGGUACAACGAGUUGCGAACUCGCGAGAGUAAGCUAAUCUCUUAAAGCCAUUCUCAGUUCGGAUUGUAGGCUGCAACUCGCCUACAUGAAGUCGGAAUCGCUAGUAAUCGCGGAUCAGCAUGCCGCGGUGAAUACGUUCCCGGGCCUUGUACACACCGCCCGUCACACCAUGAGAGUUUGUAACACCCAAAGUCGGUGGGGUAACCUUUUAGGAACCAG